rnacentral:rRNA from 1 species
GGAAUAUUGGGCAAUGGGGGAAACCCUGACCCAGCAAUGCCGCGUGAAGGAUGAAGGUCUUCGGAUUGUAAACUUCUUUGAUUGGGGAAGAAUAAAUGACCUACCCAAAGAACAAGUCACGGCUAACUACGUGCCAGCAGCCGCGGUAAUACGUAGGUGACAAGCGUUAUCCGGAUUUACUGGGUGUAAAGGGCGUGUAGGCGGCUUUGCAAGUCAGAUGUGAAAUUCCCGAGCUCAACUUGGGCGCUGCAUCUGAAACUGCAGAACUUGAGUGCUGGAGAGGAAAGCGGAAUUCCUAGUGUAGCGGUAAAAUGCGCAGAUAUUAGGAGGAACACCGGUGGCGAAGGCGGCUUUCUGGACAGUAACUGACGCUGAGGCGCGAAAGCGUGGGGAGCAAACA